GCUUUCGACCUCCGAGGCUGCGACCGCGUGUCCUGUAGCAGCAACCACUGCAGAUGGGGCGUUGCAGCUCUCGAGCUGCUGCGGCUGCAGCUGGACUUGGCAGGGGUGAGAUAAUUAGCCCUUUUGAUGCACAAGCGCCUUCCUUUCUUCUACCUUCCUGUUCUUGACAAAGGUUUGUAUCCCCAAGACAUUAAAAUGCAACCCUUACAAUUUUCCUGUUUCGGCUACAAAUUAGAAAUAUCCUGAUCCCCAUUAAAAAAGGAUUCGUUCCCAGAGAAAGUGGCUUAAUUCAAGUUUUCACACAGGCACCCGAAAGCCAGCAAUUCCCUUAUGGAAAGGUAGAUUCAGGAGAUCUGGGCAGGACUGCGUGGCAGCGUCAGGUAAGCAUUUCUUUAAAACGGGGAAAUGACAUUAAGCACGAUUUGAACAAACACAGCUGUGACUACCCGAUCCCCGGAAGCAUAUUUCUUAAACAUUUCUUUACUACUUUUCCACAUUAAUGUCUAAGUACACCCUGCCCCGAACACACACACCUUUGUACUCUGUAAAGCAUGUAUGCAUGCUUUUGUUUUUUGUGUGUGAUGGGUUUUUUUUCUCCUGAUAUAUUUGUGAAGAUCUCAUGUUUUUCUCUGCACAAUAAACACCCUUCUGAAAUGAGAGCAUUUGCCCCAGAUGCCAUGUAUUCAGGGUCACAGCUAACAUUUUUCUCCUUUAAAUAGGCUCCCUUAUUUCCUAGCCCUCAAUCCAAUUCCUAGUGAGGUGGCUGUCCUACCGGACUCAAAGAAUGAAACUGCCACCUGGGCUCUGAAGAGAUGCCAGUUCCAGUAGUUCCUCAAGGGUUCAAAGAACUUCAGUGACUGCCACAGGCAAAGUGGAUUCAAAUGCUAAACGGAACCAAGCAGACCGAAGACUGCAGAAAGGAAGAAACGCCUUACUAUGCUCCAGUGCAGCGGCGGACGGCCCGGUGUUAUUUCUGGAAUCCCCAAGGCCAGGCUGCAAGACACACGAGCGUUUAUGUUCCUGUGGGUUGGGGUGGAGCUGGACACACAGAAAUCCCAACGGAUAAAAUGCCUUCUGUAUAAGCAGUGGAUUUCAAGAUUCCCUAAAUUAGAGCAGCAAACCCAGCCCAUAGAGAGGAGACGCCCAUGGAGGUGAUGAGAGAGGAGACAUAUGAAGGGAAAUUGUCAAAAAGGUUGUUUCUGAGUGAGGCCUACCCAAAAGAGGCACGUGCCAAAUAUUUACCACAAACAAGCUCAUAUGAUCAUGUGAAAUCAAAAACUGACACAUUAUGAAAUUGUAAUAUCUGAGGGACUCCAUAGAAUCUGCUUGUGUCUGAAAAAAAAAUUCUUGGUACUUCAAGUCCCAGAACACAGAAAAGCUGACAUUUAGAGUGGCUUUAUUUGUUAUUAUUUUAUUUAUUUAUUUAUUUAUUUAUUUUAAAAGAUUUAUUUAUUUAUUAUAUGUAAGUACACUGUAGCUGUCUUCAGACACUCCAGAAGAGGGAGUCAGAUCUCGUUACGGAUGGUUGUGAGCCACCAUGUGGUUGCUGGGAUUUGAACUCCUGACCUUCGGAAGAGCAGUCGGGUGCUCUUACCCGCUGAGCCAUCUCACCAGCCCUAUUUUAUUUAUUUAUUGAGGGUCACACUGCAUUUAAAUCCUGCAAGGAUUAACUCAUUCAAUAUACUUGAUGCCACUAAAAGGGAAAUGUUGUAAACACCAUCUCCAAUUU
rnacentral:lncRNA from 1 species